CCUACGGGAGGCUGCAGUGAGGAAUAUUGGUCAAUGGACGAGAGUCUGAACCAGCCAAGUAGCGUGAAGGAUGACUGCCCUAUGGGUUGUAAACUUCUUUUAUAUGGGAAUAAAAUGUUCCACGUGUGGGAUUUUGUAUGUACCAUAUGAAUAAGGAUCGGCUAACUCCGUGCCAGCAGCCGCGGUAAUACGGAGGAUCCGAGCGUUAUCCGGAUUUAUUGGGUUUAAAGGGAGCGUAGGUGGAUUGUUAAGUCAGUUGUGAAAGUUUGCGGCUCAACCGUAAAAUUGCAGUUGAAACUGGCAGUCUUGAGUACAGUAGAGGUGGGCGCAAUGCGUGGUGUAGCGGUGAAAUGCUUAGAUAUCACGAAGAACUCCGAUUGCGAAGGCAGUUCACUGGACUGCAACUGACACUGAGGCUCGAAAGUGUGGGUAUCAAACAGGAUUAGAUACCCUUGUAGUC
rnacentral:rRNA from 1 species